GACUCUUCGGUCCCUGAGAGAAGUGAGAGACAAGCACCUCAGACCCUUAGGCCCUCUGGACUCGCUUUCCAUCUAUCGCAUUCCUUCCAGUCCCCAAACGGCUACUUCUAAGGAAGAGAGGCAGAUGUGCUAACUAAGUCCUUACUUAAUCAUCCUGUGGCAGAAACUACCAUAAACUGGGAAGUACAGUCAAGGCUGUCACAGUCAAGUCUUUCAGAAUGAGCGGGAGCACGCACCCUUCUAGAGGGCCUGAGCACACUGCCAGCCCUCAUAGCAGGUGGCUCUCAACCACCUGGAGCCCUGACUCUAGGAGAUCCAACACUCACUCCUGACCUCCAAGGGCAACCACAUCCAAGUGGCAUAAAAACCUG